rnacentral:rRNA from 1 species
ACUCCUGCGGGAGGCAGCAGUGGGGAAUAUUGGACAAUGGGCGCAAGCCUGAUCCAGCCAUGCCGCGUGAGUGAUGAAGGCCCUAGGGUUGUAAAGCUCUUUUGUGCGGGAAGAUAAUGACGGUACCGCAAGAAUAAGCCCCGGCUAACUUCGUGCCAGCAGCCGCGGUAAUACGAAGGGGGCUAGCGUUGCUCGGAAUCACUGGGCGUAAAGGGUGCGUAGGCGGGUCUUUAAGUCAGGGGUGAAAUCCUGGAGCUCAACUCCAGAACUGCCUUUGAUACUGAAGAUCUUGAGUUCGGGAGAGGUGAGUGGAACUGCGAGUGUAGAGGUGAAAUUCGUAGAUAUUCGCAAGAACACCAGUGGCGAAGGCGGCUCACUGGCCCGAUACUGACGCUGAGGCACGAAAGCGUGGGGAGCAAACAGGAUUAGAAACCCGAGUAGUCCCAUGA